rnacentral:lncRNA from 1 species
GAUAAAAUACAGGGGGGAAGUGAAAGACAUUGAGGAAAUGUGUCAUUUUCUUGAAGGGUCCUCUCUGCAAGAAGCUGAGAGAAGAGCUUCAAAGUACUUCAGCAGCCAGCUGGGCACUGCAUUACCCUUACUAUUCAAAGCUGACAGAGAUGAAAAAGAACAGGAAAUACAGGUUCUGCUGGAGAUCAGAAAGGCACUGGAAAAGCUGAUGCAGUUUGUUAAGAAGAUACAAGAAGAAGAAAAGAGAAUAUGUGUGCAGAUUACACAGAGAGAGAAGCAGAGGGGAUGCACAUCAAGUACAGAAACAGUAACCAAUGUGAUGCUCAGACAGGUUAUACUUGCUCUAGCCUCUGAAUUUCAGGAAUGCAUGCUGAAACAACAAGCUAACGUGGAGACUGCAUACACCAAGCUGGAAUUUUUGAGGGACUUGUCAGAUAUCCAAACCCAGCAGGCAAAGAUGCUUUUCUGUGGGUCACAGCACUGUUUUGAAAACUAUGAGACAGUCAGAUACUAUGGCAGUAGUGGGAUCUCACACAGUACAUGCAAGGCCAUCGAUCACAGUGUGAUCCCACUGCUCAAGUCUAUGGUUCAGAUGCUGGAGGAAGAUAGCAGAAGUUAUGUAUCAUCUGAGACACCUGGUAAGAGAGGAGUUAAAGAAACAGCACGUUCUUCUCAGAGUAAACAAGAUGCCUUCUCGAGUCAAGAAGGAGAACUAAUAGUAGUGGAUUCUGCAGCCCUAUCCACGAGGGAGUUUAUCAUAUAUCAGUAUGGCAUCUCUUUGCUGCAGUUUCUCAGACUUCACAUUGAUGCUCCAGAAGUUAACCUGUGUGUUGCCUCCAGUAUUCCUCUCUGUAAUGCCACAGGCAAUGCCUUCAGGAACUCUUUCUUUUAUCAGACUUCGAAGAACAAACUGUUCAUCCUGAGGGAUUGCCUGGGUUCUGCUGGAAGUUUCCUCCUGCUCCUUGUGCACUGCUUUGCUCACAUCACUGCUGCUGACUUCAGCCAAGACACCAACCCAACCUUUCUGAGGCUUUUUUACCAGGCACUAAAGACUUGCCUUGGUGAGAUGUUUUCUCUCAGACUUCAGCUGUCAGCAGUUCUCCAAGAUAAUAAAUCCUCUGGGAUAACUCAGAUGUUGCUGAAGGAAGAGCCGUUCUCCAAGGAAGAAAUAAGUCUGAUCUCCCAACUUUUUGAGGUGAAAGGGAAAAACCUCACAGAAAUCGAAGCCUUUGAGAAGAUACUAAGACAGACUGACUCCUGGUCUGGUUGAAAACUCACCAUCCUUUUUUUCCAUACUUCAUUACAAAAUGGCAAUUAAAAGCUGCUUAUAGAUAUUGGGGCUCCCUCAUUUGCAGCCAUCAAUUCCUAACAAACAUGUAACUGUUUCAAAUCUAACUAGCCUAUACUAGCCUCACAAGUAUCAUUUUUACCUGGAAAAAAAACCCUCAUAGCACAAAAAAAAUUAUUUGGCCUCAUACAAAUCACUAGGACAGCAUAAAAAGCAGCACUAUGAAAAAUGUAUGUAAAGAGUCU